CUAGCUCUGCUCCCAGCGAGGGACGCUGGCCUUCUCGCGGCUUUCCCCCGAUAUCUCUCUUUAUUCCAGCUGCCUGAAACUCGGUCCCACGAAUGGCAGGCAGCGUCCAAAAUUCAACCCCGUAAAGCCAGCACCAGCCAAUAAAGCGCACGGAUGGAGGCCACGUGACAGCAGUGGGCCGGCCCUCCGGCUGAGCCCUGAUCUCUAUGGUUUCCGCGGCUCGCUAGAAGGAGUGUGGUCCACCGGAGGACUCCCUACAUUCUUCCUCCAUUACCUCACUGCCUCCGGUGGCUGCUGGGAUACCGGAGGACUCGGGUCCCGGCUCGACUCAGUCCUCCAGCCGCCCGGGGAAUACCUCUAGUUCUUCCCGGCCGCCGCCGCCGCCGCCGCCCCGCCGCUUCCUCCUCCGCCUGCCGGCCUCCUUCGCCCCGUCCCGUCCGCGCAGCGCGUCCGGCCCGCCCGCAGGCCAGCUUCUCUCGGGAGCCCCCACCCAGGCGCAUGGCUCCAUGAAGCAAGAGGAGGAGGCAGAGCGCGAGAGGUCCCGUCCGCCCCAGCCGCGUCUGGGCCAGGAUAAAAGCAAAACCAUAUUCCUGCUGCUGUCAGUUAUGAUGCACUGAGAAAACUUCAGAGACCUAAACUUUUUCCAGAGAAGAGAAGCUUUACUGGUGUUCCAGCCCUAAGAAACCUUUGUUCAAGAAAACGGCAGAUGCUCUGUUGAAUCCACUGGAGAUUGUUCUGAUACUAAGGACAAGUAUCAACCAUCUUUCCUGUGAAAAAUUCCCUCUCGUACUUUAGUUCUGUGGAUCCAAAAUUUAUAGCAUUCUUCUACCACCACAGGGGCUCAUAUGACAUUAACAGACAAGACACUUUUCAGAAAGACAGGCAACGUGUUGGACCUUCCGGAGCUUCUCAGAAGACAGAGGGUUUUCUUUUGAGAUCCCUCCCGUAGCUGUCAUACAGAGUGCGAUUUAUGACUUGUAAGUUGUGCUAUGGAGCUUGACAACCAAACCUUCAAUACAUUUAUGAAGAGAGCACUACCGAGACUUUAUACAAUGGAAUAAAAUAACAAAAUGUGCUGACAGCAUUCUUCCACUCAAAGAGAAAAAGUACUUCAACUCGGCCGGGCACGGUGGCUCACGCCUGCACGCCUGUAAUCUCAGCACUUUGGGAAGCCGAGACGAGCGGAUCACGAGGUCAGGAGAUCGAGACCAUCCUGGCUAACACGGUGAAACCGUGUCUCUACUAAAAAAAAAAAAAAAAAAUUAGCCGGGCGCGGUGGCGGGUGCCUGUAGUCCCAGCUACUCCGGAGGCUGAGGCAGGAGAAUGUCGUGAACCCAGGAGGCGCAGCUUGCAGUGAGCCGAGAUCGCGCAACUGCACUCCAGCCUGGGCGACAGAGCGAGACUCCGUUUCAAAGAAAAAAAAAAGUACUCUAACUCAUUUUCAUUUUUGUAGGACUUGAAUUUUUUAGGGCAGUUUCAGUUUCACAGAAAAAUUAAGAGGAAGACGUAGAGAUUUACCAUAUAUAUGUAGUAAUAUAUAUUAUAUAUGGUAAUAUACCAUAUAUUACUAUAUAUAUAUAUAUAACAAGCAUGUGGAGGCAGGGUAUAUUAUAUAUAUACACACACACACACCCUGACAUAAUAUAUAUAUAUAUAUACACACACACACACACCCUGACAUAAUGUGUAUAUACAAUAUAAUAUAUAUUAUAUAUUAUAUUAUGUAUGUAAUAUAUCCUGCCUCCACAUGCAUGGCCUCCUUCAUUAUCAAUAUCUUCCUCCAGAGUGGUACAACUGUUAAAAUUGCCUCUACGUUAAUACAAUUUUAUUACCCAGUGGUAAAUAUACAUAACAUAAAAGGUACCAUUUAAUCAUUUUCAAUUCUAAAACUCAGUGAUAUUGAAUACAUUCACAAUGUUCUAUAAUUAACACUGUUUUCAUAACUUUUCUAUCACAUCAAACAGAAGUUCUGUACCAUUAAGCACUAAUUCUCCAUUCCCUUUGCCCCAGCCUCCAUGCCCUGGAAACAUGCAAUCUGCAUUCCCUCUACAUUAAUUUGACUAUUCAUGAUCUUUCAUGUAAGUAGAAUCAUAUACUGUUUGUCCUUUUGUGUCUGGCUUAUUUUGUUUAGCAUAAUGUUUUCAAGGUUUAUCCAUGUUGUAAACAUGUAUCAGAACAUCAUUCCCUUUUUAUGGCUAAAUAAUCUUCCCUUGUAUGUACAUGCCACAUUUUGUUUAUCUACACAUACAGGUUUGUUUUCACUUUUUGACUCUUGUGAAUAAGAAUGAGUGAUAGUAUCUGGUGUGUGCAUACAGCCAUUUUCUUACUAAAGGCCAAUAGCAUCAAGCAGUCUACUAAUGGUUGUUAUUUAUCUGAUUAGGAUCCAGAGUUCCAAAAAGGUUAAUUCUUUUUUUUUCCAGUUUAAUGGCAGUUUUUGUGGAGGGAUUGACUUCUAUAACUCCCUAUUCCAAUCUUCUAAAAUCCACUUUAAAAGAAUGGUUUAAAUUGUGUGCUUGUAGGAUGAAAUUGAUAAACAAUUAUUUUACCAACUUUCAAAAUUACAUCAUAGAGAUAAUGUCCUUUGACUAUUGGGUGUUCACAUAUUUGGCAUGUUAUGAACAACUUUCUGGAAGAUAAAGGCCUUUUAUCUCAUACUUAAUAUUAAGACAGGAACCAGUGUGCUAGCAAUGGCUUUUGGGUUUGAUGUGAUAUAUUUGUAUGUAAUGAUUUUUUAAAACUUAGAGAGAAAAAUCCUCUCAUACAAAACAAAAUAGUUUUUACUGUUAUGAGAAAGUAGUUAUUAAUUACUUAUAAAACAUGCAAGUAUCUUUAUGAUAUUUGGUGAUUUAUUUUUCUCCAGCCAUCUUGUCUUGUUGUUAGUGGGGAAAAAAAUAGGGAUGCUCUUUAUCUAUGAAAAUGUGAAAAGUAUAUACACAUUUUAACUAUACAUGGUUUCCCUAAAAAUUCUUCUUCUGUUUUUAAUCCUCUAAAAUGAUCAUUGAUAUGUACAAAUAAAUACUGAUGAUAGCAACUGAAGGAUCAUUUUUGCUGUUAUCAGAAAUUGAAAAUACUGUAACAGUCUAUCAAUAGAGAAAUGGUUAUGUACAUUAUGAUACAUAGCAUAUGUCCAUAUUUAGAAUACGUACCAAAUGUAUACAACAAAGCACAAUGAAUACAUGAUUAUACUAAGAUGGAUAGGCAUGGAUCCACAUAUUACUCUGUUUGUACAUGGUCUUUUCCAAACAGAAAUACAAUGUAAGAAAGAAGAAAAGAAAAAUAAAGAGAAAGCGAAUAAAGGCGACAAAAUAAAAUAUAAACCAGGAUGCAUUAGCUGGUCUCAUCUUAGGGCUGGAACACCAGUAAAGCUUCUCUUCUCUGGAAAAAGUUUAGGUCUCUGAAGUUUUCUCAGUGCAUCAUAACUGACAGCAGCAGGAAUGUGGUUUUGCUAAAGGCAACAGAAAAGCAAAACUGUCUCAAGAUUUAAAUAUUAAUCCAAAGGUUGAACUUUUUACCUUAAUGUUGCUGCUUUCUGUAUGCACAUCCCACAGGAUGUAGGAAGGUGGAAAGGAUGAAGGAAUGUGGAAAAUGUAGAAAAUUAAAAAAUAAGGUAAAUUUAAAAGGUAAUACGACUAACAUUCAUUCAUUCACAUUAAGCUCCUACCUUGUACCACAUUGUAUUGUAGACACUGCGGAUAUAGCAGUGAAAAAAAGAAAAUAAAGAAAAAUAUGCCUUUUUGGAGCUUACAUUCUCUUGGAAGGAGAUGUGUAACAACAUAAAUAAUUAAACUACAUAAUAUGUUAAGUGUUGCUAAGUGCUAUGGAGGAAAGUAAAGCAGACAAAGCAAAUAAAGAACACGAGGAGGAGAUAUAAUUUUAAGUAGGGAAAUAAGGAAGGCAUGACGGAGACAGUAGCAUUUGAGUGAAAGACUUGAAGAAGGUGAUAUGGUUUGACUGGGUCCCCCACUAAAUCUAAAGCUUGAAUGGUAGUUCCCAUAAUCCCCACAUGUCAUGGGAGGGACCUGGUGGGAGACAAUUGAAUCAUGGGGGCAGUUACCUCCACGCUGCUAUUCUUGUGAUAUGAAUGAAUUCUCAUGUUCUCUGAGGGUUUUAUCAGGGUUUUUUCCCCCAUUUUGCUUGGCACUUCUCCUUGCUGCCACCACGUGAAGAAGGAUGUGUUGCUUCCCCUUCCACCAUGGCUGUAAGUUUCCUGAGGUCUCACCAGCUGUGCAGAACUGUGACUCAAUUAAAUCUCUUUCCUUUAUAAAUUACCCAGUCUAGGAUAUGUUUUUAUUAGCAGCAUGAGAAGGAACUAAUCCAGGAGAUAAGGAAACAAUUCAGGGGGGAACUUGAAGACAGGUGUUUUCAGUCAGAGAAACCAUGUACAAAGCAUCUAAUGUGAGAGUGCUAUGGUCUGAAUGUUGACAACCACCCCCCUCCAAAUUCAUAGGUUGAAAUGUAAUUCACAGUAUGAUACUAUUAAAAGUUAAGGUCUUUGGAAGGUGAUUAUGUCAUGAAUACAGAGCCUUCAUGAAGGAGAUUGGUGCCUUUAUAAAGGAUGCCUGAGGGGGUUGGUUUGUCCCUUCCACCAUAUGACGACUCCACCAUGUGAAGAAGAUGGGUCUAUGAACUAGGAAAUAGGGCCUCAUCAUAUAUGGAAUAUGUGAGCACUUUGAUCUGGGACUUAGCUUCCAGAACUGUGAAAAAUAAAUUUCUGUCAUUUAUAAGCUACUUAGUCUAUGGUAUUUUGUUAUAGCUGCUCGAAUGGGCUAACACAGAGACAAUUCCCAGCCUGCCCAAAGAGCACCAGGAAGUGUUGGGUACAGCAAAACUAGAACAGAGGCAUGAGGGGAAGAGCAACAGGGCUGUGAUCAAAGAGGUGUGCCUGGUGGGGAGCAUGAGUAGAGCUGUAUAAUCUGUACAAUAAUGACCCAGAGUGGAAUUAGAAGUCCUUAAAAGUGAAUGAGCAGAGUGGCAUGAUCUCCAUGAUACUAUGUUAUAUUCUUGCUUGGGUAUUGAGAAUAGACUGAGGGUGAGGGCCAAUGCAGAAGCAGGAAGGGGGAUAAAAAUUCAGAUGAGACAUGAUUUUGGCUUGGCCUGGGUGGAUAACAGCAGUAGUAAAAAUUAUUUAAAUGUUUUGAAGGUGGGUUUGCUGAGAAGUAAAGGAUGUGUGGAGAAAACUGGAUUGAGAAUUGUAUAAGGACUGUAUUGUAUAUUGUAUGAGAUUGUAGAUCCAGGAUGAGUCACAGUAUUUUUGAAGUUGUAGUAAAUGGAAUGAACUAGAAAGAUAGAAGUUAAUGUUCGGAAGGCAGGAGACUUAAAAGUUAGAUUGUAAAAAUUUGCAAUUAGGAGUAAUAACGUGGUUUGAGCUGAGAUCAUGAGAUUGAAUAGCUAGAUACUGAAGAUAGCAAGUACAUUGGAAAUGAUGAGGUCAAAUGUCAAAGAAGAUAAGUAAUUUAAAUGAGACAUCAAAAUAAUGGCAGUUAAGUCAGGUUGUAAAGACUGCAAAGAAUGAGGGAAAGUGACUAAACAUUGGGAGAGUGAUCAAUAUAAUCAAAUAGUAUGAGAUUCCAAGCUGGAGGGGUUUGAGGAGAAGGAAGUAGAAGUAUUCUGCAAGAGGACACUUAUUUUACUUCUAGAGGCAGUGGUUAGAGCACUGAGGGUGAGAACUAGUCUGCACUUAGGGGGCGACAUGAGAAGCAGCAGCAUCAGUGAGAGACAGAUGACAAUAAGAAUGAAAAUGUAAAGGGAAAAUUGAGAAACUUAUAAAAAUUGAGAUUCUUCUAUGCACUCUGUACAUUUCUUAAAGAAGCUUUCAACACAUUUAAUUUCAUUUAAAUCUUGCAAUACUCUUGAGAGAUAUUAUCAUUCCCUUUUUACCAAAAAAAGGCUGAAUGGCCAAGAUCACAUAAAAUCACAUAAAUAAUAGAAGUCAAAAGUAUGACUUUAACCCAUCUAGUGUUAUAAGAACCACAUAAUCGUCAAUAAUUUGAGAGUAUCUUAAUUAAUUAAAUUAAAAAAAUUAAUAAAAAUUUUUUCAAAAGAUGUAUUCAAGUUAUCAAUUUGAAGAAAAAUGAACAUAUUACUUAGAAACAGCCCUGGAUUAGAGUCCCAAUUAUAUCACUUAAUAAUUGUGUGGUUUAGGUAAGCCAUGUAAAGUUGCUGUACUACUUAAAUUUAAAAUAAAGACAAUUUUACCCAAACAUAAAAUUGUUGUAAUGUUAUUGUGCAGUUAUAAAUCACUUAUUAAAUUAUAAAUUUAUGAUAAGUAUUAAACAGAAUACUCAAUUUUAAGCCAUAAGGUCUUCUAUUAGAAAAAUAUUCAAAUAUAAUGUGAUACAUCAUGCAUUUUUAUAAAGAAAAAUAUAAAUUUAAUUAUAGCCCUAAUAAAAAAUUUUGGAGGUGCAUUACCAAGGCCAAAUUUAUAUUUCAUAAAAUGAACAAAUUUAAGAUGUGUACCUUAACUUUAUGUAUUUCUGCACUCAUAUUCACACCAGCCAUAUCAAGAUAAAGAACAGUUUCACUACCACAGAAAAUAUUGUGCUGCUUUAUUCCAGUCGAUAAUAACCACUGGUCAAAUUUGUCUGGAAUCAUAUAGAUUUUAUGCUUUUGUGUCUGACCUAUUUUACUCAACAUGAUGUUUUGGAGAUUUAUCUAUGCUGUUUUAUGUGUCAAUAUUUUAUUUUGUAUUGCUAUGUAUUAUUACUCUGUAAGUCAAUAUCAUAAUUUAUCUCUUCUCCACUUUAUAGUUGUUACAUCCAGUUUUUGCCCACAAAAACAACCUGCUGUGAAUAAUUUUAUAUAGGUCUCUGUUGUGUGAAUACACACCCUCAUUUAUUUUUGGUAUAUACCUAUAAAUUGAAUCAUGAUGUCACUGAGUAUGUGUGCAGGUUAACUUUAUAAGAAAUUGCCAAACUUCUUUAAAAUAUAGCUGUAAAUUUACUCUUCCACCACAAAUGUAUGAGAUUUUCUUUGCUUCAUAACCUCUUCAACACUUGCUAUAUUCAGUACUCAGUUUUUUUUCUUAAGAGAUGGGGUCUUGCUCUAUCACACAGGCUGGAGUGGAGUGGCACAAUCAUAGCUCACUGCAGCCUUGGACUCCUGGGCUCAAGCUAUCCUCCCAUAUCGGUCUCCAGGUAUUUAGCCAUUUUAAUUUUACCAGUUCUCUUGGAUACGUAAUGACAUCUCACUGAGGUUUUUAUUUUCAUUUUUUCUGAUGACCAACUAUUUCAGCACAUUUUCUUAUCCUGAUUCCCCAAUUGGCUGUCUUCUUUUAUGAACUGACCGUUCAAGUCUUUUGCCCACUUCUAAUUGAGUGAUGUAUCUUCUGCAUAACAAUUUGUAGGAUUUAUUUACUUUCCAUAGAAAUAUUUUGUCAGGUCUAUGUAUUUCAAAUGUGUUAUCUAACUGUGACACUUCUAUUCAUUUUUCAUUGAGGUAAAAACAUAACUUGUGAUCUAUCCUCUUAGUAAGAUUUUAAAUGUACAAUAUAGCACUGUUAAGCAUAGGCGUGAUGUUGCACAGAAAAUCUUUAGAACUUAUGCAACUUACACAACUGAAACUUUAUACCUGUUGAACAGCAACCCUUCUUCCUCCUGCCCCUAACCAUUCUAUUCUCUAUUUCUAUGAGUUUGACUAUUUUAGAAAGCUCAUAUAUGUGAAAUCAUGCAGAAUUUAUCCUUCUGUGACUGGCUUAUCACGCUUAGCAUGAUAUCCUCCAGGUUCAUCCAUGUUCUUGCAGAUGGCAGAAUGUCCUUCCUUCUUAAAGCUGAAAAUAUUCCAUUGUAUUUAUACACCACAUUUUCUUUAUUCAUUUAUGUGCUGAUGGACAUUUAAGUUUUCAAAUUUUGUUGUUUUGUGAGUAAUGCUGCAAAGAACAUGGGUAUGCGGGUAACUCUACCACAUCCUGAUUUCCAUUCUUUUGGACAUAUGCCCAAGAGUAGGAUUGCUGGAUCAUAUAUUAGUUCUAUUUUUAGUUUUUUUGAGGAACCUACAUACUGUAAUUCACAGUGGCUGAACCAAUUUACAUCCCCAGCAAGAGCGUACAAGGGUUCCAGUUUCUCCACAUCACUGCCAACACUUGUUACGUCUUGUUUUGUUUCAUAAUGCCUCUCCUAAUGAGUGAUGCUACCCAUUUUCAAGAUUGCACAAACUCCACUUCUAUAAGGGAACUCAGCCCACAAGGCUCUCAUGUACAUCAGUAACAUCUAUAUCUUUACUGAAUUACAUAUGCCUUGCCCUAUCAAAUGAAAUUAUGUACCACGAAGUCAGGAUCAUAUCUCAACUCUUCUGUAAACUCCACAAUGCAUAGCAUAGUGUUACUCAUGGAAAAAUCAAAUACUUGUGAUUGAAAUGGGUUAACAUUCUUCUCAUGUUAAGGAACAUACUUCUUUAAUUGUACCUGUUGUUAUGCCGGGUGUAAGACUUAUUCUUUUCUCCAGAGUUGAUAUCAAUAAUUUAAAAACAUAUAGGAAUUGGAGAUAAAUGGGGAAACAAACAAUUUAUGAAGGUCAAAACUAUGAAGUAAAUUUCAGUUCAUGGUUAUUUGGUAGAAAUACUAGGUUGGAGAGUAUGGUUCACAUUUGAGACCAAAUUAAAUAUUAUUUAAUAGAUUUCUUUCACACUUAGUUGAAGGAAAGCAUGCAGUAAAAACCUAGCUUGACCAAAAACCUGACUUGCUCUUGGCAAAAAUUGUGGUGGAGAGAGAGAGAGAUAGAGAAUGAAUAACCUCUACCCUGUGGGAGGGUCUUUCCAUUGCAAAUGACGCAAGUAGAGAAUCUGAUGAAUCCGAGCCUAGGAAAGUCAAAAAGGAAGCAGAUUGGCAUCCAGUCAUUGAAGACACUAAACCUGAACACUAAGAAGACAUGAUUAAAUAAAUGUCAGGUUCUGAACAAUUAAACUGGUUACUUCUGCUACAUUGAAGUAAGGAGUGAAUACCUUGGAGUCUAACAUAGUUUUCCAAAUAAAAAGAUAACGAGGCGGAAGAUGACAUUUUGUUUACUAAAUUUUCUAGUUCAUAUUGAAUAGUUUAAUUAGAACUUGAAAGCCAAGGUCUCAGGGAACCAUUUUUAAAGUGCUUUUCAAAGAGCUUAUAUUAAAAUAAUUAUAUGUAAAUAACAAAUAAUUAGAUAUGAGGCUCACAAAUGAAAUAUUUAUGUUCAUAUAAUAUGGCUAAUGUAUGGUAACAAUAGUAUUAAAUCUAUAGAUCUAUGAUGGGAGAAUUACUAGAAAAACAAGAGUAGGUCUCCCAAUCCAUGAGCAUGGAAUGAUUUUCCAUUUGCUUAGAUUAUUAGUUUUCAGCAUACAAUUCUUACACAUAUUUUGCUAAAUGUAUUUCCAAGGGUUUAUUUGUAUAGUAUUGUGAAUAUAAUUAUUUUCUUAAUUUUUUUAAGAGAUAGAGUCUCUUUCUCUAUCUACCAGGCUGGAGUGUAGUAGCUUGCAAUCAUAGUUCACUGCAACCUUGAACUCCUGGCUCAAGUGAUCUUCCUGCCUCAACGUCCUGAGUACCUAGGACUGAGAGGUGAAUGCCACCAUGCCUGGCUAAUUUAAAAAAAAUAAAUAAAUUCAUAGAGAAGAGGAUCUGUCUUUGUUGCCCAGGCUGGUUCUAAACUCCUAGCCUCAAGUAAGUCUCCUGACUUGGCCUCCCAAGGCACUGGGAUUACAGGCCUGAGCUAUUGAGCCCAGCCACUUCCAUUUCCUGAUGGCUUUAUUGAUGUAUUCUUCAUUGUAUUGACUAUAACUUCCAGUGCAAUAUUGGAUAGAAUUAGGGAGAGUAAACUUUAUAGACAUCUUUGGCACGUCGCCAAUUUUGAGGGGCAAAUAUCCAGUCUUUCACCAUUAGCUAUGCUGUAAAAUGUAGUGUUUUUGGUUGUUGUUGUUGUUGAUGUCCUCUAUCAGGUUGAAGAAUUUCCAUUCUAUUUUUUUUAUUAAUUCACAUUAGAUUCUGUCAAAUCCUUUUCCUGCAUCAUUGAGAUAAUCAUUUCAUUUUAGUUCAUUUUAUAACAUAGUAUAUUACAUUACAUUUUGUAUUUAAAAUACAAAAACAGUCUUGCAUUUCUGGGAUUAAUUUCACUUAGUCAUGGAGUGCAAUCAUUUUUAUAUACGGUUGAAUUUAGUUUGAUAAUAUUUUAUUGGAGAUUUUUGUGUCUAUAUCUGUGAGGUAUAUUGAUCUGUAAUUUAAUUUUUAUUUUUUUGUUUUUAAAAAUUUCUUUUUCUUUCUUUCUUUUUUCAUUUUUGCUUUUGAAUAUAGGCCUUAUAACAUGAAUUGGGAAGUUUCUCUCUUUUUCUAUUUUCUGAGUAUGUGUAUCAUUUCUUCAUUGAAUAUGCGAAAUAACUUACCAGUGAAGUCAUGUGGUCCUGUAUAUUUCCUUAUGAAAGACUUUUAAUUGCUAAUUUGACAUGUUUAUUCAGAUUUUCUAUUCAUUUUUAUUUCAGCUGUGGUAAUUUAUAUAUUUUUAAGACUUUCUACCUUAAAUAUAAGUUGUAUAAUUUGUGGUCACAAAGUGUUUCAUAGUAUUUCCCUUAUAAUUCAUAUAUUUGGAUGAGAUGGGGGAGGAUUGGUAGUAGUAACCUUUGUUCUUGAUUUUGGUAAUCAACACAUUAUUUUUUUUUCUUUCUUUUUUUUUUUUCUUUUUUGAGACAGAGUUUUGCUGCUGUCGCCUAGGCUGGAGUGCAAUGGCAGGAUGUGGGUUCACUGUAACCUCCGCCUCCUGGGUUCAAGUAAUUCUGCCUCAGCCUCCUGAGUAGCUGGGAUUACAAGCACCCGCCACCAUGCCUGGCUAAUUUUUGUAUUUUUAGUAGAGAUGGGGUUUCACCACGUUGGCCAGGCUAGUCACGAACUCCUGGCCUCAAGUGAUCCACCUGCCUCGGCCUCCCAAAGUAUUGGGAUUACAGGCGUAAGCCACCAUGCCCGGCCUUUUUUAUUAUUCAUCAUCUAAGUAUUUCUCAAUUUUGUUUAUCUUUUCAAAGAUUCAAACUUUGGAUCUUUAAAUUUCUUUAUUGUUUUUUGUUUUAUUUUCUAUUUGAUUGAUUUCUGCUCUAAUCUGUAUUAUUUCUUUGUUUUUCUUGCUUUGUGCUCAGUUUAGUCUUCCUUUUCUAAUUUCUAAGGUUGGGAGAAUGAAUUAUUAAUUUAAGAACUCUCUUUUUAAAAUAACCUUUAAAUUUUGAUAUAAUUGUAGAUUUACUUACAGUUAUAAGAAAUAAUAUAGAGAGAUUUCUUGUAACCUUAUCUCAGUUCUCCCAGUGGUAACAUCUUGCAAAAGUAUAGUACAAUAUCAUAACCAAUAUGUGGAGAUUGAUAUAGUCAACAUACAGAAUAUUUCCAUUACCAUGGAAUCCCUCAUGUUGUUCUUUCCUAGCCACAUCUAUUUUCCUCUUUUUCACCUCAUCUUUAACCCUUGAUAACCAUUAAUCUUUCCUCCAUUCUCAUAAUUUUGUCACUUCAGUAAUGUUCUACAAGGGAAAUUCUACAUCAUAUAAUCUUUUGUGGUCAGAUUUAUUUACUCA
rnacentral:lncRNA from 1 species